AAUGUUGAAUUUGAAAUGAGUUAUGCGCCUUUAAAGUAGGAGAUGAGAAAUGGAGAGACAGCAGAGAAGCAGACAGUCGGUUUCUCUGCCGUCUCUCGCUCUCUCACCUCCAACUUUAAAGGCGCAUAACUCGCUUCAAAAUGAAGGUU
rnacentral:sRNA from 13 species